rnacentral:rRNA from 1 species
AGUGAACGCUGGCGGUAGGCCUAACACAUGCAAGUCGAACGGCAGCACAGUAAGAGCUUGCUCUUACGGGUGGCGAGUGGCGGACGGGUGAGGAAUACAUCGGAAUCUACUUUUUCGUGGGGGAUAACGUAGGGAAACUUACGCUAAUACCGCAUACGACCUACGGGUGAAAGCAGGGGAUCUUCGGACCUUGCGCGAUUGAAUGAGCCGAUGUCGGAUUAGCUAGUUGGCAGGGUAAAGGCCCACCAAGGCGACGAUCCGUAGCCGGUCUGAGAGGAUGAUCAGCCACACUGGAACUGAGACACGGUCCAGACUCCUACGGGAGGCAGCAGUGGGGAAUAUUGGACAAUGGGCGCAAGCCUGACCCAGCCAUACCGCGUGGGUGAAGAAGGCCUUCGGGUUGUAAAGCCCUUUUGUUGGGAAAGAAAAGCAGCAGGUUAAUACCCCGCUGUUCUGACGGUACCCAAAGAAUAAGCACCGGCUAACUUCGUG